CCGUCUCUUGCCAUGCUCGGUCAGUCAGCCCCCAGCUUCUGAUCUUGAGCCGGAUACACCCUGUCGACCCCCCCUAGGGAGGAUGAUGGGGUUGUACGAGACGAGAAUAUCUUCAGGCAACUAUCUUUGAGUGCGGAACCUGUCUCUUCCAACAUGGAGGAUUUCGCAAUUAAUCAGUUGGCACAUCC
rnacentral:snoRNA from 1 species